rnacentral:miRNA from 1 species
UUUUCCCUACUCCUCCCAUCCC